CCAGCCUCCCCCGGCGGGGACGGGACAUCUUCCGGCGGGAGUCGGAACCGGGAGGGCGGGGAGCGACGUGGUGUGCGCAUGCGUAGCUGCCUGUGUGAGGGCGUCUGCCAUAUGGGAGUGUUAAGCAAAUGUGUCUGAGCCUGUUGUUUACAUUGGCAAGUAAGAGAAGUUCUGAAGAAAAAGCUGAAGAUCUGACAUCCGCACCACUGAUGUGGCAGUCCAGACCAGCUUUUGUCACUGUGGACGCAGCGACAGCUGGAGUUUGAAUAUACUGAGUGUGUUCUGGGGGUGUAACUGAGUUUGCUUUCCUUCGAAAAGAAUCUGUUCUGCACACUCCAAGACUCUGGAUGGGUGAUGAUUCACUGAGCUGAAGCAACCCGGGGAGAAGCAGAGUGCAGGGCUAAAAGUCUUCUUCCUGGCAGAUGUGAGUCACUGGCAUGAGCCAGGUAGCUACAGGAGUUGGAGGUGAAAAAGGCAGGUCCCCUCUGAAAUUCCCGUACAGAUGGCACAUGGGACAACACGGACUGGAGAAUGCCCUGUCUGUCCGGAGUUAAAGGGCUUUACAGGGCAAUUAGCUGAAAAAGCAGUGGGGCAUGUUCAAAACAGGGAGGCAGAAUUUGAGCAGUUUUUGUUUUAGUGUUUUUCCUUUUGCAGGGAGGCGGGAAAAAAAAUUGGGCUGGGACUUGUCCACUUUGCUUGCAUGCUGCAUGGCUCAAACAGUUGACUGUUGGAUCUCAGAUGGAAAUUGCAAUUUGCAGCAUGGAGAAGGUAAGGAGAAGCUUCCCGAACCCAUCUGGGGAGUAAUUUUUGAAUGUGGAGCCCUCUUCCAAUCUCUGUAAUGGUGAGUCUAGGCCUUGGGGUGUCUGCACUCUGCAGCAGUCAGCAAUUUGGUGUGACACUCAGUGCCACGUUGACAGGACCAUGUUGACUAGCCUGGAGUCACUGCCGCUUUACUGGCAUUUUCUUGACACCAACUCCUGUGGAGUUGUAGACUGUCAUCCACAGCCCUUGCUGCUAAGUAUAUUAAAUGGUGUUGUUAUGGUUUCUAAAAAGAGCAUAAAUAAUUCUGUUCAGUGUGAAAUGUAUACCAUGGAUUAGUUUCUCCGUAUUCAAAGAACCAUAUUUGCUGACUGGAAAUUUUCAGGUUUUUUAUGUUUUGUUUGGUUUUAGUUUUUGUUUGUUUAUUUUUUUCAGGAGUGGACAUAAUAAAUUACACCUUAAAGUCUUGGGUUUUAUGAUCUGGUGCUAAGACAGCUUGUUGGGGGUUAGAUUUGGUUUUUUUUUCUCUCUUCUCACAGAAUUUUUUCCCAUAAGUUUCCAAAAGCCUUGAUGACUACUUAGUCAGAACAAAAAGAGUGCUUGAGGGAUAUAGCAGCACGAGGCUACACCUAUUGUUUUUGAGUCCCUGGGAGUGUCCCUCAGAGGGGAGAGAUGAUGAGCUUUGGGAAAGGCAAAAAAGACAGAUCUGGGGGAGGGGGAGGCACUCUUGCUCUCAGCGCCGAGGAGGACGGUCAGGCUGCCCUCUGCCUCUGCCUCGUCCUGGGAAAUCUACCGUCAUCUACUGUGUACCUGGGAAUCCUGAACUCGCUUUCUCCAGCCUCUCCCCCCACCGCCGCUGCUUCUUCGGAGCUUUGAGGCUCUCCUGCUACUCUGUAGCCCUGCACUGCCCAGCCCUGCCGGGACACCCCUGCUGUUCCAGCUGCCAGCGCAGAGCUCCUCAUCUCAUCCACCGGCCCGGGACUUUUCCUUCCUUCCAGUUCGGCCUCUCGGAGUCCUGCAGGGGCACCCAGAUCAAACUGCUCUGGGCUUUUGUAAAAGAAAGCCCUCAAGGUUCUUCGUUCUGUUUAUUAUUGAUGCUGUAGUUGUUGUUUGUUUGUUGUUUUGUCAUAUAUACUAGUAAAGAACUGUUAUUCCUACCCCCAUACCUCUGCCUGAAAGCUCCUUUAAUUUUCCUUUUAAUUGGAAUAAUUUGGAGGGAGGGGAUUUGAAUUCUCCAUCUCUAGGGAGGUCCUGCCCCUUCCUAGCAGAUAUCUGUCUUUCAAACCAAGACACAGCUGAGGCCACAAAUGGCUCUUGGGUGACUGUAGGCUUGACAAAGAACUGUACUAUGCAUUGACUCCAAGGGAAAAGUGAGAAGAGGUGGAUGUUCUGGAGCAUGUAUGUGAUAUGUUCUGUCUUGGUCAGGAGGGUUGAAUUAGAUCAUCUCUAGAGAACCUUGCCAACUUCAGCUACUUUGGGAUUCUGAAUUAGGAAGAAAGUUUUUUUUAAGAGGUAGGUGUCUGCACUGUUUGUGGCUUGGAAUUUCAUUUUUGUUCUACUCCAUCUUUACAGUAAUGAAUACAUUGAGAACCAACAACUUUCUGCCACCUUCAUCCCUGUUGAUGCCUGGAUACUCAGAUCACGUGAAAAGCCAAAUAAAGACCCUGUGAAUUCACACUGUUUUGAACAGAGGGCACAUUGUGGACUUUGGCUUACUUAUGAAACUGUGUGUGAGGUACAAAAAUGUUUAUGGCACUUGUUUCUAGCUUGUCUGUACCCUGUGAGAUCUGAGGUGUCUGCAUUUUUUUGUUUCAUAAAAUCUGACUGGGAAAGCUUGCAGAUACCGAUAUUAAAAUUUGAUUGUUACCACCUUGCACACUGUGCUUUUCCCUGAUGGGUAUAAGGAAACUGUACAUCUGGGGUGGGGAGCACCAGCUUUACAGGUUUUUGCUUGAUGUAGCUUUAAAGAUAAAUGUCUCAUGAAGAUCUCUAUAGGGAUCGAACCUAAAUUAAGACAGUGCAGAGAGACAGAAAUUCUGGCAUUAAUCAUAUUACUUUUAUUUAAAUGGUAAGGAGUGAUUUAAUGGAAAAGGUUUUAUUUUUAUUAAUACUUGAUGCUGAAUUUUGAACAGUACUGUACCUAAACAAUUUUACAAACAUAACACUAAAUAUACUGUUUAUUGCUCAUUGUUUUUGCGUGAACAUAAAACCUGGAAAUGAAUACAAGAA